rnacentral:rRNA from 1 species
GACGAACGCUGGCGGCGUGCCUAACACAUGCAAGUCGAACGGAAAGGCCCUGCUUUUGUGGGGUGCUCGAGUGGCGAACGGGUGAGUAACACGUGAGUAACCUGCCCUUGACUUUGGGAUAACUCUAGGAAACUGGGGCUAAUACCGGAUAGGAGCUCCUGCUGCAUGGUGGGGGUUGGAAAGUUUCGGCGGUUGGGGAUGGACUCGCGGCUUAUCAGCUUGUUGGGGGGGUAGUGGCUUACCAAGGCUUUGACGGGUAGCCGGCCUGAGAGGGUGACCGGGGACAUUGGGACUGAGAUACGGCCCAGACUCCAACGGGAGGCAACAGGCGGGAAUAUUACACAAUGGGCGGGAGCCUGAUGCAACAGCGCCGCGAGCGGGAUGACCGCCUUCGGGUUGUAAACCGCUUUCGCCUGAGACGAAGCGUGAGUGACGGUAAUGGGUAAGGAAGCACCGGCUAACUACGUG